GAUCCUGGCUCAGGAUGAGCGCUGGCUACAGGCUUAACACAUGCAAGUCGAGGGGCAGCAUGGGGUUUGCUUGCAAACCCCGAUGGCGACCGGCGCACGGGUGAGUAACGCGUAUCCAACCUUCCCGCGACUCGGGUAUAACCUGCCGAAAGGCAGACUAAUCCCCGAUGUCCUCCACUUUGGACAUCUUUUGUGGAGUAAAGGCUUCGGCCGGUUGCGGAUGGGGAUGCGUCCGAUUAGCUUGUUGGCGGGG
rnacentral:rRNA from 1 species